rnacentral:rRNA from 1 species
UACGGGAGGCAGCAGUGGGGAAUAUUGCACAAUGAGGGAAACCUUGAUGCAGCCAUGCCGCGUGUGUGAAGAAGGCCCGAGGGUUGUAAAGCACUUUCAAUUGUGAGGAAGAUUAAGUAGCUAAUACCUGCUUAGUUUGACGUUAACUUUAGAAGAAGCACCGGCUAACUCUGUGCCAGCAGCCGCGGUAAUACAGAGGGUGCAAGCGUUAUUCGGAAUUACUGGGGGGAAGCGCGCGUAGGCGGACUGUUAAGUCGGUUGUGAAAGCCCUGGGCUCAACCUAGGAACUGCAUCCGAUACUGGCAAUCUAGAGUUUAAGAGAGGGAAGUGGAAUUCCAGGUGUAGCAGUGAAAUGCGUAGAUAUCUGGAGGAACAUCAGUGGCGAAGGCGACUUCCUGGCUUAAAACUGACGCUGAGGUGCGAAAGCUUGGGUAGCGAACGGGAUUAGAU